AUCCAGCAAACGAGUCUCAAAUAGGACGAAAUGCGCGUCCUGGAU
rnacentral:hammerhead_ribozyme from 1 species